ACUCAAGGUUUAGUAGUGCCCGGAUAACGACAACGGUCAGUUGAAUUUCGAUACUUACAAACGUCUAUCGGUCUUUCAACAGUUGUUGAUGAGCGUAAAAAGUAUUUGAUUACUCUAUACUAACUGGCAAUUGAAACUAGAGGAAGUGCAGAAAAAUCAUGUUUACACUUUGUAAAAGUAGGCGAAAUUCUAAUCCUAAUUUUAUUAGGACGUACAUCAUCACCUUGCAAGUUACUGAACUGAUAAACUUCUCUACUCUGAAGAAGACCAAUUGCAUUGAUGCAUCUUGAAAGG